UCUAGACACUGAAGCAUAUUUUUCAUCCUGACCAAACCUCCGAGGGCCUCACCAAGGACGUAGAUCCGGCCCUGGUGCACGGUAAUCCCCAGCGCACUGCGGCGAUGUUUCAUAGGGGCUACGAAAGUCCAGGUCUCUGUCUCCACGUCAAAACGCUCCACGCUGUUCAGCUGGUCCUGCCCAUCGUAGCCCCCUGCUGCAUAGAUACAGUUGUGCAGCACGCAGACCCCUAAAGGAGAAGACACAGUGGGAGUCACAGUGAGCCUGGCUGGGGGCGGGGUUGAAGGGAUGGAAUGGUGCCACUGCCCUUCCCUCUACCAUUGAGAAGCUGGGGUAGGAGGAUCAGGAGUUCAAAGUCAGCCUCAGCUACACAAGGACUUCGAGGGCAGCUUCAAGUCUCCGCAGUGCUGGGAUGAAGGCUGUGCAGCACCUCGCCUGGCUCAAGAAGUGACCGAGGCUCACUGGCAUCAACUAUGAAAGCAACAGCAACUCCCUUAAGCCAAGGCAGCUUUAUCCCUCAGGGCUGCAGCACCUGUGUGCUUUGCCUCAAACUACAAGAUUUGCUAUGGAAAUGUGAGUGCUGGGGAUGAGACCUAAGCCCUGGAUUCAAGAAAGAGACUAGAGGGCUAGAGAGAUAGCUCAGUGGUUAAGAGCACUGGCUACUCUUCCAGAGGUCCUGAGUUCGA